AUUGAACGCUAGCGGGAUGCCUUACACAUGCAAGUCGAACGAGUGGCGGACGGGUGAGUAAUAUAUCGGAACGUGCCCAGUAGCGGGGGAUAACUACUCGAAAGAGUGGCUAAUACCCCAUACUAUUGGAGCGGCCGACAUCGGAUCAGCUAGUUGGUGGGGUAAAGGCACAACCAGGCAACGAUCCGUAGCGGGUUUGAUAGGACGACCAGCCACACUGGGACUGGAACACGGCCCAGACUCCUACGGGAGGCAGCAGUGGGGAAUUUUGGACAAUGGGGGAAACCCUAAUCCAGCCAUCCCGCGUGUAUGAGAAGGCCUUCGGGUUGUAAAGUACUUUUGGCAGAGAAGCGGUAUCUGCAGAAUAAGCACCGGCUAACUACGUGCCAGCAGCCGCGGUAAUAC
rnacentral:rRNA from 1 species